GCAUGUGCGCGAGUCAUUGGGACUCUGUUAAACCUAAAGGCGCAAUGAAAGUAAAGGUCCGCCUCGCGCGGACCGAGGGAGGAUGGGCCCGUCCACGGACGGGCCCCGCACUCCCGGGGCGUCUCGUCCUCAUCGCGAGGAGAGGCGCACCCAGAGCGUACACGCUGGGACCCGAAAGAUGGUGAACUAUGCCUGGUCAGGACGAAGUCAGGGGAAACCCUGAUGGAGGUCCGUAGCGAUUCUGACGUGCAAAUCGAUCGUCGGAACUGGGUAUAGG
rnacentral:rRNA from 2 species